rnacentral:rRNA from 1 species
UACGAAGGGGGCUAGCGUUGCUCGGAAUCACUGGGCGUAAAGGGUGCGUAGGCGGGUUUUUAAGUCAGAGGUGAAAUCCUGGAGCUCAACUCCAGAACUGCGUUUGAUACUGAAAGUCUUGAGUAUGGGAGAGGUGAGUGGAACUGCGAGUGUAGAGGUGAAAUUCGUAGAUAUUCGCAAGAACACCAGUGGCGAAGGCGGCUCACUGGCCCAUAACUGACGCUGAGGCACGAAAGCGUGGGGAGCAAACAGG